GAAGCUGGAAUCGCUAGUAAUCGCGAAUCAGCAUGUCGCGGUGAAUACGUUCCCGGGUCUUGUACACACCGCCCGUCACACCAUGGGAGUCAGUAACGCCCGAAGCCGGUGACCCAACCAAGAAUGGAGGGAGCCGUCGACGGUGGGACCGAUAACUGGGGUGAAGUCGUAACAAGGUAUC
rnacentral:rRNA from 1 species